UACGUAGGGUGCGAGCGUUGUCCGGAAUUAUUGGGCGUAAAGAGCUCGUAGGCGGUGUGUCACGUCGGCCGUGAAAACCUGCAGCUUAACUGUGGGCGUGCGGUCGAUACGGGCAUCACUGGAGUUCGGCAGGGGAGACUGGAAUUCCUGGUGGAGCGGUGAAAUGCGCAGAUAUCAGGAGGAACACCGGUGGCGAAGGCGGGUCUCUGGGCCGAUACUGACGCUGAGGAGCGAAAGCGUGGGGAGCAAACAGG
rnacentral:rRNA from 1 species